rnacentral:tRNA from 1 species
CGGGGCGUGGCGCAGCCCGGUAGCGCACUCGCUUGGGGUGCGAGUGGUCGUGGGUUCAAAUCCCGCCGCCCCGACCA